GGGGCGGAGACCCCCUGCCCCUCCCAGGAGCCUCAGGGGCAUGGCCGCUGCUUCUGCGAGUAGCACAGGGCUAAGGAAGGAAGGAAGGGCGCCUGCUUUAGCCCUGCUGCCCCACUGACCAGGAGCCACCUGAGCCUACCUGAAUCCUGUAUCCCUGAACAGCUACAGGAACACUGCAUGGAGGCAGCUCCCUUUUCCCAAAAACACCAGGCUCACUGGUGCACCAUACACAGACAGCUUACGAACCACUUUCCCCCCGUAGAAGAAUUGCAAAUAGUAACAACACAGAUACUACUAAACUCUUUACCCUGUCAUCCGAACCCAACGUAGACCUUGUCUAGCCUGUGUGAAAGCAACAUUUGCCAGGUGGGCUGCCAAGAAAUUACACUGUGCAAAUAAUUGCCCUGGAGGAGGAUAGCUUGGCAGCAGCCGAGUAAGAGCUGGAGAAAUGGAAGUAGUCAAGAGGCAAGGUUUCGAAGAGCUCUGCCAUAAAUGUCUGAUGAAAAAUAUUAGGGAGACAUUUAGCAAAUGUGACUAUGAACGCUGAUUCUCUGCCAGCUGGCAGGUUUGGAAUUACAGCCAUAACAAUUAGCUGUGAUUACUUCCUGAUGUUGCUGAGUACAGUGCAAAGAUCACCAGCUGAAGUAGCUGCAUUCUGUGAUAUUUGUGGGUGGGCGGCACAAAGGAAGAGUAUCUGAUCAUGAUGUGAACAUUAGAGACAUGCGUUAGGGAUAGACAGGUGUGUGUAUGGUAUGGCAGAGGGAGGAAGGUUUAUUUCAGUUUAUCAAGCCUCUCUCCAGAGAUCUAGCUGCAGUACAUACUUAAAAUACAACUAUUAUAAACAAAAUAAAAACUAAAAGCAAAACAACUGAACUUCCCAACCAGGACCAUACUGGCUACAAUAGUUAACCCAUAAUAACAACAACUCUAGUCAAUUACCAUCCACCCUCAGCCAACCAGCCUUUACUCCACUCUGCUGAUCAAAAACAGAGAGAAAGGCUGGGCUUUGCAGUAUGUCCAAAAGGUUAAUAAAUCUGGACUCCGAUCCAGCAUGCAUCGCUGUCCUUGGAAAGACUCCCAGCUACAUCAGCGGGUGCUGGAUCAGGCUCUUAGACUCUUGUGGACGAAGGCUUGAGAAAAUUGCAGAGUCAAAGACCCUUCCCAGAGAAUGCUUUGAGGCCAGCUCCUCACAUUUAAAGUGAACGUGGCUCCAUCUGAAUUCUCCUACUGCUACCAGCUGCAGUAGUAUUGCACAGGGACAGUGGCAGUCUCUAGCUAACUUGGAAUGCCUGCUACCAGCUUCUAUUCAUCAUUACCUAUGAGGCUAACCCAUUAAAUUCCCCUCUAGAAUUCAGAACACAGGAUGAAUCCCUGAAGAUCUUUGUAACAUGAGAAGAGCUGUGCAAAUUAUUCUGAGCUCCAGCCCCAUUAAAACUUAGUUCUGGGAUUGAAGUUGAACUUUCGCUUUUACUCACAAUGUUCAGUGAACAUGGGCUGAGGAUAUUUGUAUUGAGCAGCUUGACAAUUCCCCUCCCCGCAGCCAGUCUUCCCCUAUUUACUCAGCUUCCCCCCUUCCUCAACAAACCCCAAGUCCUUCCUGAAGACAUUGGAUCUGGGAAGUGGAGGGAAGGGAUAGUUUGGAGGGCCAGCCUUGGAAACCCUUUUUUGACUUUCUUGACCUCA